rnacentral:misc_RNA from 1 species
UGUGAUGCCUGAAGAAGAGGAUACAUCUUUCUUUUGGUGAGCAUAUACCAGAAGUUUGCUAGUCUCAGGACAUGUUCAUGUACAGUGUGUAGUGUACAGGUACUUGAGUGUAUCAGCCAGGACAUGGUGUUUUAUGCUGCUAAUCAUGGGUCCCUGAGAGACCAAAAAAUUUUUAUUGUACAUAUUGUAAGGCUUAUGCUGUUCUAUGCAUAAAUGCAACUUUGGUCUCAAACCUUUU